rnacentral:rRNA from 1 species
AACGAACGCUGGCGGCAUGCCUAACACAUGCAAGUCGAACGAGACCUUCGGGGCUAGUGGCGCACGGGUGCGUAACGCGUGGGAACCUGCCCUUAGGUUCGGAAUAACUCCCCGAAAGGUGUGCUAAUACCGGAUAAUGUCUUCGGACCAAAGAUUUAUCGCCUUUGGAUGGGCCCGCGUUGGAUUAGCUAGUUGGUAGGGUAAAAGCCUACCAAGGCGACGAUCCAUAGCUGGUCUGAGAGGAUGAUCAGCCACACUGGGACUGAGACACGGCCCAGACUCCUACGGGAGGCAGCAGUGGGGAAUAUUGGACAAUGGGCGAAAGCCUGAUCCAGCCAUGCCGCGUGAGUGAUGAAGGUCUUAGGGUUGUAAAGCUCUUUUACCCGGGAUGAUAAUGACAGUACCGGGAGAAUAAGCUCCGGCUAACUCCGUG